UCUCUCUGAAUCUGCGAACGGCUCCGCACACCAGUUGUAAACCAAAGCAAGCUAGUCCAUGGCCUGGCCCUCACGGGUUGGGCUGUGGACGAUACGGAUAACCCUGGUAAUUCUGAGGCUAAUACGAGACUGCAAUCCCUGGCUAACCGCAAGGAAGGCUGGGGGGCGUGUAAAGGUUUCGCGAGGAAUAACCGGGAAGGGGUACACGCUCUGACCACGACAAAGACAGUUCCGGCAAAUCCUCGGACGAGUUGGUUCUGAGUGGCUCUUGCGAGGUGCUUCUGACCUAUCAACUAGAUGGCAGCGUAACGGACAUGCCAUGGUUACAACGGGUACAGAGGAUUAGGGUUCGAUCCUGGAGAGUGGGCCUGAGAGAUU
rnacentral:rRNA from 1 species